AAAGGGAGACCUAAUUCAGGUAGGAGACGAAAAAAAAGUAGUCCCUACCAAGAAUCAAUCCCAAAAGGUCGGAGCGAGGCAAAAUUGGCUUUCAAACUAGGUUCUGGGUUCACACAAGACCUGAAUCAGGAACAAGGGCUAUUAGCUCAGGUGGUUAGAGCGCACCCCUGAUAAGGGUGAGGUCCCUGGUUCGAGUCCAGGAUGGCCCACCUGUACAGGUGGCAAAAAGAAAGAAAAGAAGCGAGGAAUCAGCACCUUAUCUUACUUAUAUAGUAAGAGAGAAUGCUGGCUCUGAGUUCAGAGUCCAGAGGAACCUUGAAAACUGCAUAGAGCUAGGUGAAAAAGCCAAAAAAGAAGACCGCAAG
rnacentral:tRNA from 1 species